UCAAGCGAAUAAGCGCACACGGUGGAUGCCUUGGCGGUCAGAGGCGAUGAAGGACGUGGCAGCCUGCGAAAAGUAUCGGGGAGCUGGCAACAAGCUUUGAUCCGGUAAUGUCCGAAUGGGGAAACCCACCCGCUUGCGGGUAUCCUGCAGUGAAUACAUAGCUGCUGGAAGCGAACCUGGUGAACUGAAAUAUCUAAGUAACCAGAGGAAAAGAAAUCAACCGAGAUUCCGUAAGUAGCGACGAGCGAACGCGGACUAGCCCUUAAGCUGAUUUGGUUCUAGGAAAACGCUCUGGAAAGAGCGGCCAUAGAAGGUGAUAGCCCUGUAUCUGAAAGGGCCAUUUCAGUGAAGACGAGUAGGGCGGGGCACGUGAAACCCUGUCUGAACAUGGGGGGACCAUCCUCCAAGGCUAAAUACUACUGACCGACCGAUAGUGAACCAGUACCGUGAGGGAAAGGCGAAAAGAACCCCGGAGAGGGGAGUGAAAUAGAACCUGAAACCGUGUGCGUACAAGCAGUAGGAGCUCCGCAAGGAGUGACUGCGUACCUUUUGUAUAAUGGGUCAGCGACUUACUGUUCGUGGCAAGCUUAACCGUAUAGGGGAGGCGAAGGGAAACCGAGUCUGAUAAGGGCGCAUAGUCGCGGGCAGUAGACCCGAAACCGGGUGAUCUAGUCAUGCCCAGGGUGAAGGUGCGGUAACACGCACUGGAGGCCCGAACCCACUCCCGUUGCAAAGGUAGGGGAUGAGGUGUGAUUAGGAGUGAAAAGCUAAUCGAACCCGGAGAUAGCUGGUUCUCCUCGAAAGCUAUUUAGGUAGCGCCUCAUAUGUAUCCUCUCGGGGGUAGAGCACUGUUAUGGCUAGGGGGUCAUCGCGACUUACCAAACCAUUGCAAACUCCGAAUACCGAGACGGACUGUAUGGGAGACACACGGCGGGUGCUAACGUCCGUCGUGAAAAGGGAAACAACCCAGACCCACAGCUAAGGUCCCAAAUUUUGUGCUAAGUGGAAAACCAUGUGGAAAGGCACAGACAGCCAGGAGGUUGGCUUAGAAGCAGCCACCCUUUAAAGAAAGCGUAAUAGCUCACUGGUCGAGUCGGUCUGCGGGGAAGAUUUAACGGGGCUAAGCACAGAACCGAAGCUUGGGGUGCAUACUUUGUAUGCGCGGUAGAGGAGCGUUCCGUAAGCCGUUGAAGGUGGAUUGAGAAGUCUGCUGGAGGUAUCGGAAGUGCGAAUGCUGACAUGAGUAACGAUAAUGCGGGUGAAAAACCCGCACGCCGAAAGCCCAAGGUUUCCUUGCGCAACGUUAAUCGGCGCAGGGUGAGUCGGCCCCUAAGGCGAGGACGAAAGUCGUAGUCGAUGGGAAGCAGGUUAAUAUUCCUGCACCUCGCGUAAGUGCGAUGGAGGGACGGAGAAGGUUAGGUGUACCAGGCGUUGGUUGUCCUGGGGAAAGGCGGUAGGUUUGGAUCUUUGGCAAAUCCGGGAUCCUCUAAGACCGAGCACCGAGACGAGCCUUUAAGGCGAAGUCACUGAUACCACGCUUCCAGGAAAAGCUCCUAAGCUUCAGCUUACGCAGACCGUACCGUAAACCGACACAGGUGGGUAGGAUGAGAAUUCUCAGGCGCUUGAGAGAACUCGGGUGAAGGAACUAGGCAACAUGGCACCGUAACUUCGGGAGAAGGUGCACCCUUUUUGGUGGCUCGUGCGAGCUAUAGCUGAAGAGGGUCGCAGUAACCAGGCCGCUGCGACUGUUUAUCAAAAACACAGCACUCUGCAAACACGAAAGUGGACGUAUAGGGUGUGACGCCUGCCCGGUGCUGGAAGGUUAAUUGAUGGGGUCAGCCGCAAGGCGAAGCUCUUGAUCGAAGCCCCAGUAAACGGCGGCCGUAACUAUAACGGUCCUAAGGUAGCGAAAUUCCUUGUCGGGUAAGUUCCGACCUGCACGAAUGGCGUAACGACAGCGGCGCUGUCUCCACCCGAGACUCAGUGAAAUUGAAAUCGCUGUGAAGAUGCAGCGUUCCCGUGGCAAGACGGAAAGACCCCGUGAACCUUUACUAUAGCUUUACACUGAACGUUGAGUUCGUCUGUGUAGGAUAGGUGGGAGGCUAUGAAACUGUGGCGCUAGCUGCAGUGGAGCCAUCCUUGAAAUACCACCCUGUCGUGCUUGACGUUCUAACCUGGGCCCAUUAUCUGGGUCGGGGACCGUGUAUGGUGGGUAGUUUGACUGGGGCGGUCUCCUCCUAAAGAGUAACGGAGGAGCUCGAAGGUACGCUCAGCGCGGUCGGACAUCGCGCACUGUGUGCAAAGGCAUAAGCGUGCUUGACUGCAAGAUCGACGGAUCAAGCAGGUAGGAAACUAGGACUUAGUGAUCCGGUGGUUCUGUAUGGAAGGGCCAUCGCUCAACGGAUAAAAGGUACUCCGGGGAUAACAGGCUGAUACCGCCCAAGAGUUCAUAUCGACGGCGGUGUUUGGCACCUCGAUGUCGGCUCAUCACAUCCUGGGGCUGUAGUCGGUCCCAAGGGUAUGGCUGUUCGCCAUUUAAAGUGGUACGCGAGCUGGGUUCAGAACGUCGUGAGACAGUUCGGUCCCUAUCUGCCAUGGGCGUUGGAGAUUUGAGAGGGGCUGCUCCUAGUACGAGAGGACCGGAGUGGACGAACCUCUGGUGUUCCGGUUGUCACGCCAGUGGCAUUGCCGGGUAGCUAUGUUCGGAAGCGAUAACCGCUGAAAGCAUCUAAGCGGGAAGCGCGCCUCAAGAUGAGAUCUCCCGGGGCACAAGCCCCCUGAAGGAACCAUGUAGACUACGUGGUUGAUAGGUCAGGUGUGUAAGUACAGCAAUGUAUUGAGCUAACUGAUACUAAUGAUCCGAGAGGCUUGACCAU
rnacentral:rRNA from 1 species